ACGGGAGGCAGCAGUGAGGGAUAUUGCGCAAUGGAGGAAACUCUGACGCAGCGACGCCGCGUGGAGGAUGAAGGUUUUCGGAUUGUAAACUUCUGUCUUCAGGGAAGAAUAAAUGACGGUACCUGGGGAGGAAGCCCCGGCUAACUACGUGCCAGCAGCCGCGGUAAUACGUAGGGGGCUAGCGUUGUCCGGAAUUAUUGGGUGUAAAGGGCGCGUAGGUGGAUUUGCAAGUCAAACGUGAAAUCUGUAAGCUUAACUUACAGCCUGCGUUUGAAACUGUAUUUCUUGAGUGGAGUAGAGGCAAGCGGAAUUUCCAGUGUAGCGGUGAAAUGCGUAGAUAUUGGAAGGAACACCAGUGGCGAAGGCGGCUUGCUGGACUUUUACUGACGCUGAGGCGCGAAAGCGUGGGUAGCAAACAGGAUUAGAUACCCUGGUA
rnacentral:rRNA from 1 species